rnacentral:rRNA from 1 species
UGGGGAAUUGUUCGCAAUGGGCGCAAGCCUGACGACGCAACGCCGCGUGGAGGAUGAAGAUCUUCGGGUCGUAAACUCCUUUCGAUCGAGACGAAUGGCUUCCGGGUGAACAGCCCGGGAGAAUGACGGUACCUCCUUAGCAAGCACCGGCUAACUUCGUGCCAGCAGCCGCGGUAAUACGAAGGGUGCAAACGUUGCUCGGAAUUAUUGGGCGUAAAGCGCACGUAGGCGGCUUAGCAAGUUGGAUGUGAAAUCCCUCGGCUCAACCAAGGAAGUGCAUCCAAAACUGCUGAGCUUGAGUACUUAAGAGGAUCGCGGAAUUCCCGGUGUAGAGGUGAAAUUCGUAGAUAUCGGGAGGAACACCAGUGGCGAAGGCGGCGAUCUGGGAAGAUACUGACGCUGAGGUGCGAAAGCGUGGGGAGCAAA